rnacentral:rRNA from 1 species
AUGGACCGGUUCCACGACAGGCACCACGUGCGGCUGCGGAGCCGCGUGCAGCGCACCUACCUCCACGCCGCCGACGACGGGGAGAGCGUCACCCUCAGCCAGCUCCGCGCCUCCAUGAACGCGGCGUGGGCGGUGCACAUCUACAACGGCGACGACGGCCCGUACCUGCUCCUCCACAGCGCCGCCUACGGCCGCUACCUCGCCGCCACGGCCACGCCGGCGAGGCUCGGCCACCGCGGCCUCCGCGCGGAGCUGCGCGACUACGACCAGCCGGGCGUGGAGGCCGUCAUGUGGCGGGCCGUGGGGUCGGGCUUCGCGGACGACGUCGUCCUGCUCCGCAACGUCGGCGGCCGCUACCUCCGCGCCAACGGCAGGUACCUCCCCUGGAACUCCUCCGGCGUCAGCGUCGACGACGAGGCCAGCGCCAGCUCCAUGAUGUACUGGGUUGUCGAGCCCAUCCCCGCCAGAGACCGCUGGAACAUGCCCUUCCUUCCUGACCCGCCUCCGCUCUUGAUAUACCUCCUCGGGGUCAUCUACCCGGAGCCGGGACGGCUGAUCCGGUUCGUGCGGGCGCAAGACGACGGGCACUACCCCGAGGCCGAAGGCUGGCAGCAGUUCUGGUUCAGGGGGAGGUCCGCGUUUCGCCUGAGGGACGACCUGGGGUUACUCGUCGGCGCCGGCGUGUACUACCUGAACAUCACCAUGUGCGUCCGAGCGGGCCGCCACGGGAGGCUGACCCCGCUCGUUGUCAACCUGCCCGACGGCGGCUAUGGCGAGACCCUCGAGAUUGUCGUCUUCAUGGCCGACACCCCUGCAUACAAUGAGCUGCGACACCCGGAUGUCGACGCGGAGUAG